CCUACGGGUGGCAGCAGUGGGGAGUAUUGGACAAUGGGCGAAAGCCUGAUCCAGCCAUGCCGCGUGUGUGAAGAAGGCCUUCGGGUUGUAAAGCACUUUCAGUGGGGAAGAAAGCCUUGGGGCUAAUACCCUCGAGGAAGGACAUCACCCACAGAAGAAGCACCGGCUAACUCCGUGCCAGCAGCCGCGGUAAUACGGAGGGUGCGAGCGUUAAUCGGAAUUACUGGGCGUAAAGCGCGCGUAGGCGGUCUGAUAAGCCGGUUGUGAAAGCCCCGGGCUCAACCUGGGAACGGCAUCCGGAACUGUCAGGCUAGAGUGCAGGAGAGGAAGGUAGAAUUCCCGGUGUAGCGGUGAAAUGCGUAGAGAUCGGGAGGAAUACCAGUGGCGAAGGCGGCCUUCUGGACUGACACUGACGCUGAGGUGCGAAAGCGUGGGUAGCAAACAGGAUUAGAUACCCGUGUAGUC
rnacentral:rRNA from 1 species